rnacentral:misc_RNA from 1 species
AAAAAAAAAAAAGAAAAAAGAAAAACAGAAUGUGCCUGCUUCUGGCACAGAUCUUGCUGUUACAACAGUUAACACUCCAACUGCUAUCCUAUCGUGUAAGAAGGCCAUAAGAUGGCAAGUCUUCUAGCCGCGUUAUGUCUUCGAGUAGAAGCUCUCUUUCAAGCUGACGACGUGUGGAUUUCAUAACCGUAUUGAAGUCCAUAUAUGAUGCUUGCAUGGUAAGCCAUUGAUGGUCCAUUAGCUUGAACGUGAUGCAGUAGAGGAGGUCAAAUGCUGAUUCACUCUCUGCUAGGAACUUCAAAAAGGUUGCUCCAACCAUUGAUCGUGGCUUCACUGCUUCAAGAUCAAGCAUCUGAAUGAGCAUGAAUGUGAUGUUGACACCAGCUACAGCAAAUGGGUAUUCCCAUACUGACCGAUCACCUUCUCGCUUUUGAAGAAGAUCCUGGAAGGACUUCGGAAAAUUUCUAGCAAAGAACAAC